rnacentral:rRNA from 1 species
AGAGUUUGAUCCUGGCUCAGAUUGAACGCUGGCGGCAGGCCUAACACAUGCAAGUCGAACGGUAACAGGAAGCAGCUUGCUGCUUCGCUGACGAGUGGCGGACGGGUGAGUAAUGUCUGGGAAGCUGCCUGAUGGAGGGGGAUAACUACUGGAAACGGUAGCUAAUACCGCAUAAUGUCGCAAGACCAAAGAGGGGGACCUUCGGGCCUCUUGCCAUCGGAUGUGCCCAGAUGGGAUUAGCUUGUUGGUGGGGUAACGGCUCACCAAGGCGACGAUCCCUAGCUGGUCUGAGAGGAUGACCAGCCACACUGGAACUGAGACACGGUCCAGACUCCUACGGGAGGCAGCAGUGGGGAAUAUUGCACAAUGGGCGCAAGCCUGAUGCAGCCAUGCCGCGUGUAUGAAGAAGGCCUUCGGGUUGUAAAGUACUUUCAGCGGGGAGGAAGGGAGUAAAGUUAAUACCUUUGCUCAUUGACGUUACCCGCAGAAGAAGCACCGGCUAACUCCGUGCCAGCAGCCGCGGUAAUACGGAGGGUGCAAGCGUUAAUCGGAAUUACUGGGCGUAAAGCGCACGCAGGCGGUUUGUUAAGUCAGAUGUGAAAUCCCCGGGCUCAACCUGGGAACUGCAUCUGAUACUGGCAAGCUUGAGUCUCGUAGAGGGGGGUAGAAUUCCAGGUGUAGCGGUGAAAUGCGUAGAGAUCUGGAGGAAUACCGGUGGCGAAGGCGGCCCCCUGGACGAAGACUGACGCUCAGGUGCGAAAGCGUGGGGAGCAAACAGGAUUAGAUACCCUGGUAGUCCACGCCGUAAACGAUGUCGACUUGGAGGUUGUGCCCUUGAGGCGUGGCUUCCGGAGCUAACGCGUUAAGUCGACCGCCUGGGGAGUACGGCCGCAAGGUUAAAACUCAAAUGAAUUGACGGGGGCCCGCACAAGCGGUGGAGCAUGUGGUUUAAUUCGAUGCAACGCGAAGAACCUUACCUGGUCUUGACAUCCACGGAAGUUUUCAGAGAUGAGAAUGUGCCUUCGGGAACCGUGAGACAGGUGCUGCAUGGCUGUCGUCAGCUCGUGUUGUGAAAUGUUGGGUUAAGUCCCGCAACGAGCGCAACCCUUAUCCUUUGUUGCCAGCGGUCCGGCCGGGAACUCAAAGGAGACUGCCAGUGAUAAACUGGAGGAAGGUGGGGAUGACGUCAAGUCAUCAUGGCCCUUACGACCAGGGCUACACACGUGCUACAAUGGCGCAUACAAAGAGAAGCGACCUCGCGAGAGCAAGCGGACCUCAUAAAGUGCGUCGUAGUCCGGAUUGGAGUCUGCAACUCGACUCCAUGAAGUCGGAAUCGCUAGUAAUCGUGGAUCAGAAUGCCACGGUGAAUACGUUCCCGGGCCUUGUACACACCGCCCGUCACACCAUGGGAGUGGGUUGCAAAAGAAGUAGGUAGCUUAACCUUCGGGAGGGCGCUUACCACUUUGUGAUUCAUGACUGGGGUGAAGUCGUAACAAGGUAGCCGU